UAGGGAAUAUUGGACAAUGGGUGAGAGCCUGAUCCAGCCAUGCCGCGUGCAGGAAGAAGGCCUUCUGGGUUGUAAACUGCUUUUUGCCGGGGGAUAAAAGGCCCCUGCGGGGGACAUUGAAGGUACCCGGUGAAUAAGCCACGGCUAACUACGUGCCAGCAGCCGCGGUAAUACGUAGGUGGCAAGCGUUGUCCGGAUUUAUUGGGUUUAAAGGGUGCGUAGGCGGCCCCGUAAGUCAGUGGUGAAAUACGGCAGCUCAACUGUCGAGGUGCCAUUGAUACUGCGGGGCUUGAGUAUGGACGAGGUAAGCGGAAUUGACGGUGUAGCGGUGAAAUGCUUAGAUAUCGUCAAGAACACCGAUAGCGAAGGCAGCUUACUAGGCCAUAACUGACGCUGAGGCACGAAGGUGCGGGGAUCAAACAGGAUUAGAUACCAGGUAGUCCCUGAGCGGGCUGGCAAGGCGCAU
rnacentral:rRNA from 1 species